AGCGGAGCACGGGAAGCUUGCUUCCUGGUGGCGAGCGGCGGACGGGUGAGUAAUGCAUAGAAAUCUGCCCGGUAGUGGGGGAUAACCUGGGGAAACCCAGGCUAAUACCGCAUACGUCCUACGGGAGAAAGCAGGGGAUCUUCGGACCUUGCGCUAUCGGAUGAGUCUAUGUCGGAUUAGCUUGUUGGUGAGGUAAUGGCUCACCAAGGCGACGAUCCGUAGCUGGUCUGAGAGGAUGAUCAGCCACAUCGGGACUGAGACACGGCCCGAACUCCUACGGGAGGCAGCAGUGGGGAAUAUUGGACAAUGGGCGAAAGCCUGAUCCAGCCAUGCCGCGUGUGUGAAGAAGGCCUUCGGGUUGUAAAGCACUUUCAGUGGGGAAGAAAGCCUUGGGGCUAAUACCCUCGAGGAAGGACAUCACCCACAGAAGAAGCACCGGCUAACUCCGUGCCAGCAGCCGCGGUAAUACGGAGGGUGCGAGCGUUAAUCGGAAUUACUGGGCGUAAAGCGCGCGUAGGCGGUCUGAUAAGCCGGUUGUGAAAGCCCCGGGCUCAACCUGGGAACGGCAUCCGGGAACUGUCAGGCUAGAGUGCAGGAGAGGAAGGUAGAAUUCCCGGUGUAGCGGUGAAAUGCGUAGAGAUCGGGAGGAAUACCAGUGGCGAAGGCGGCCUUCUGGACUGACACUGACGCUGAGGUGCGAAAGCGUGGGUAGCAAACAGGAUUAGAUACCCUGGUAGUCCACGCCGUAAACGAUGUCGACUAGCCGUUGGGCUCCUUGAGAGCUUUGUGGCGCAGUUAACGCGAUAAGUCGACCGCCUGGGGAGUACGGCCGCAAGGUUAAAACUCAAAUGAAUUGACGGGGGCCCGCACAAGCGGUGGAGCAUGUGGUUUAAUUCGAUGCAACGCGAAGAACCUUACCUACCCUUGACAUCGUGCGAACUUUCCAGAGAUGGAUUGGUGCCUUCGGGAACGCACAGACAGGUGCUGCAUGGCUGUCGUCAGCUCGUGUUGUGAAAUGUUGGGUUAAGUCCCGUAACGAGCGCAACCCUUGUCCUUAUUUGCCAGCGAGUAAUGUCGGGAACUCUAAGGAGACUGCCGGUGACAAACCGGAGGAAGGUGGGGACGACGUCAAGUCAUCAUGGCCCUUACGGGUAGGGCUACACACGUGCUACAAUGGCCGGUACAAAGGGUUGCGAAGCCGCGAGGUGGAGCUAAUCCCGAAAAGCUGGUCUCAGUCCGGAUCGGAGUCUGCAACUCGACUCCGUGAAGUCGGAAUCGCUAGUAAUCGUGAAUCAGAAUGUCACGGUGAAUACGUUCCCGGGCCUUGUACACACCGCCCGUCACACCAUGGGAGUGGACUGCACCAGAAGUGGUUAGCCUAACUUCGGAGGGCG
rnacentral:rRNA from 1 species